CAUGCCCCUUAUGUCCUGGGCUACACACGUGCUACAAUGGCUGGUACAAUGGGACGCGAUACCGCGAGGUGAAGCCAAUCCCAAAAAGCCAGUCUCAGUUCGGAUUGCAGGCUGCAACUCGCCUGCAUGAAGUCGGAAUCGCUAGUAAUCGCGGAUCAGCAUGCCGCGGUGAAUACGUUCCCGGGCCUUGUACACACCGCCCGUCACACCACGAGAGUUUGCAACACCCGAAGUCGGUGAGGGAACCUCCGGGACCCAGCCGCCGAAGGUGGGGCAGAUGAUUGGGGUGAAGUCGUAACAAGGUAUCCCUACCGGAAGGUGGGGAUGGAUCACCUCCUUUCUACGGAG
rnacentral:rRNA from 2 species